UGGGGAAUAUUGCACAAUGGGCGCAAGCCUGAUGCAGCGACGCCGCGUGGGGGAUGACGGCCUUCGGGUUGUAAACUCCUUCGCUACCGACGAAGCCCCUUUGUGGUGACGGUAGGUGGAGAAGAAGCACCGGCUAACUACGUGCCAGCAGCCGCGGUAAUACGUAGGGUGCGAGCGUUGUCCGGAUUUACUGGGCGUAAAGAGCUCGUAGGUGGUUUGUCGCGUCGUCUGUGAAAUUCCGGGGCUUAACUCCGGGCGUGCAGGCGAUACGGGCAUAACUUGAGUGCUGUAGGGGUAACUGGAAUUCCUGGUGUAGCGGUGGAAUGCGCAGAUAUCAGGAGGAACACCGAUGGCGAAGGCAGGUUACUGGACGGUAACUGACGUUGAGGCUCGAAAGCGUGGGAGCAAACAGGAUUAGAUACCC
rnacentral:rRNA from 1 species